GAUGAACGCUGGCGGCGUGCCUAAUACAUGCAAGUCGAGCGAACAGACGAGGAGCUUGCUCCUCUGACGUUAGCGGCGGACGGGUGAGUAACACGUGGAUAACCUACCUAUAAGACUGGGAUAACUUCGGGAAACCGGAGCUAAUACCGGAUAAUAUAUUGAACCGCAUGGUUCAAUAGUGAAAGACGGUUUUGCUGUCACUUAUAGCUGGAUCCGCGCCGCAUUAGCUAGUUGGUAAGGUAACGGCUUACCAAGGCGACGAUGCGUAGCCGACCUGAGAGGGUGAUCGGCCACACUGGAACUGAGACACGGUCCAGACUCCUACGGGAGGCAGCAGUAGGGAAUCUUCCGCAAUGGGCGAAAGCCUGACGGAGCAACGCCGCGUGAGUGAUGAAGGUCUUCGGAUCGUAAAACUCUGUUAUUAGGGAAGAACAAAUGUGUAAGUAACUAUGCACGUCUUGACGGUACCUAAUCAGAAAGCCCCGGCUAACUACGUG
rnacentral:rRNA from 1 species